rnacentral:lncRNA from 1 species
AUCAAACUGGUGUCUGUUGUAUGAGGCGAUAAGAGUUUUUAAUCAGACACACAGCUUAUUUAUUUUUUUCAGAAAUAUAGGAGGGAAGGAUCCUUCUAGAGAAAUGUUACUGCAAUAACCUUGACACUAAUUACUAAAUAUUAAACGAACAUUUUAAUAUUAAGAGUGCAAUAGAAAUGUGCAGCUGGUUAUACCUGGGUGAAAUGUCCUCUACAUUCUAUGACUGUUUGUUAUACAUCUCCUAGCAAAGAUGACACUCCUGGUAUGAUAUUUACCAAGCUUGAGAAAAUUGUUGUAAAGCAAAUCCUGGACGUGACAUUAUUUCACCCAUAAAUACUUCAACAUGCUUCAUCAGAAUUAGGUAUAGUAAUAUGAUUGACGACUGAAACUCAAGAGGCUCA